rnacentral:rRNA from 1 species
AUUGAACGCUGGCGGCAGGCCUAACACAUGCAAGUCGAACAAGUGGCGUACGGGUGAGUAAUGUCUGGGAAACUGCCCGACGGAGGGAGAUCACUACUGGCAACGGUAGCUAAUACCGCAUACCAUCGGAUGUGCCCAGAUGGGAUUAGCGAGUAGUGGGGGUAACGGCGCACCUAGGCGACGAUCCCUAGCUGGUCUGAGAGGAUGACCAGCCACCCUGGAACUGAGACACGGUCCAGACUCCUACGGGAGGCAGCAGUGGGGAAGAUUGCACAAUGGGCGCAAGCCGGAUGCAGCCAUGCCGCGUGUAUGAAGAAGGCCGUCGGGUUGUAAAGUACUUUCAGCGGAGAGGCGGUACCCGCAGAAGAAGCACCGGCUAACUCCGUGCCAGCAGCCGCGGUAAUUC